GGUAGUCCACGCCGUAAACGAUGAGUACUAGCUGUAUGGGGUAUCGACUCCCUGUGUAGCGAAGCUAACGCGAUAAGUACUCCGCCUGGGGACUACGACCGCAAGGUUAAAACUCAAAGGAAUUGACGGGGCCCGCACAAGCAGCGGAGCGUGCGGUUUAAUUCGAAGCUACGCGAAGAACCUUACCAGGGCUUGACAUGGCACUGACCGGUGAUGAAAGUCACCUUCCCUUCGGGGCGGUGUCACAGAUGCUGCAUGGCUGUCGUCAGCUCGUGCCGUGAGGUGUUGGGUUAAA
rnacentral:rRNA from 1 species